AUGAUCGAGCACUUGUAUUCGAGCCCUCGAGGCCCCUGCAACCAGUUAGUUGCACAGCAUGGGCUGUGUGGUUGCAGAGAACAUCAGUGCUGGUUGCACAACAAAAAAAUACUAAACUUUUUAUAUGAUUAUUACACAGGUGAUCGUGAUGGUCCUACUGCCCCGUUGGAGGCUGCAUCCCCUGCACAAGCUUCUGAUGAUUUUGUGCCCAGGGAUCCUCCAAGGUCUACUACAAAGGGUAGGGCAAAGAGUCUACGCUACAAAUCGGCGCUGGAGCUACACCCAAAGAAGAAAAACAAAUGCAGCCAGUGCCAAUCUACAGAGCACACUGCUGGUGUGUGUCCACUCAGGCUACUGUGA
rnacentral:rRNA from 1 species